GGCCAAGCACCCGCCAGGGAUGUGUCACCCACGGUGGCCAUCUUGCCUCGGGUGCUUUUUGCCAAUGGAGAAAUGAGCCAGAGAUCAGAGAGAGGAAAAUAGGGAGAGGAAAGCAAACAAGGACUAGGUAAGUUCCGGGGCGGGACAGGGCAGUGGGGAGAGCCCGAGGUGCCCUUUCUUCCUGGUUUGGGGCUAUGGCUGGUGUUUGAUUGACAGCUGGGAGUUGCGCGCCUUUGGGUUGACGGUGCGAAUGGCUACAAAGUUGACUUUUCUGCUUUGGUUGAGCUCCCGUUCUAUCAGGAUGGUUCAACAAGUUAAACUGCAAUGUGGGCGCUCAUGGGUGGGUCCUGAGAAAAGGCAGGGUCCCUGGCCCGUGCCCUGGCUGAGGGUCUUGUGACCCCUCUCUACCCGCUGGUACAACACUGUCUGACAGAGGGUUCUGGCACAAGGCUCUCCCUCAUGAAUUCUGAGUGUUUGGGACAAAAACAGACACAUUUCCACCCCCGGCCCACCCUCCAUCCUUGCUCCUCAGGACAGAAGAUGGAGAUUCGGGCGAAUCUUUUGGUGAUCUACUUAUUUAUUGGUUCCUUCAUUCAAUAAAUGCUUACCGGGCACCUAGGGUCUUCUGUCCUGGGUGGGGCAUCGUACACCGUGGCCGGCAGGCCAGUCCCCAGGAAAGCGGCAGAGUGGGCCUUUCUCUGGUGUCCACGGAGAUGCUGAGUGAACAGGGUUGGGUACGUGGGCUUCCCGUGGGUAGACCAGCCCGGGGAGUCUCUCUGCUCGGGGACAUUUGAGCCGAGAUGGGACUGACAAGGAGCCGCCAUGGCCAAGGCUGGAGGAGGUGGCCCCAGGGAAGAGGACACUGUGAGACGACCUGAAAGACCCUGGGGAGGUCCAGCCUGGCCUAGCACCCAUGGCCCCUGAGCUGUGCCUACUCCUUCCCUGGGACACAGGCAUUUGUGACAAGACUCCCCCUCCCCCACCUCCAACCUCUCCCCCUCCCCCCCCAAUAGCAGCCCAAGCCAACUCUCUCGUCCACAGGAAAUCAAACCCUCUGAUUCCGGCGGCUGUCCUCAUCACUCCUGCUGUUUGACAACUGUUUCCUCUCAAUUCCAGGCCCAGCCUCCAAGUGCAGAACCGCCACAGCACGCCAAUGAAAUUGAUGUAGUGUUCACAGGGCUUUCUCUUCCCCAGCCCCGGGCGGGAGAGAUUUACGGCUCCUGGAAGUGCCACCCCUCCCUGCUUCCUGUAACUCUCCCACCACGUUCGGGGGCAGCUGGAGCUAUUUGGAUUCUGAACACCGUGCUGUUCCAGUGCUCCUGGAUCCAUUCCCAGCCUAAUUCACCCCCCUGCUCCAGCGUCUCUCACGCCCCUUGUACGUCAGAAGGUGCUGACAAGAGCCAACCUUUUGCGCCCAGCCCUCAGGCCAGUCCGCCCAAGGUUGCAGUGGGAACAGAAAACUCCCCUACCGGUAAGCAGAGCCCACCAACACAUCCAUUCUGCCCUGGCUGA
rnacentral:lncRNA from 1 species